CGCGGGGUAGAGCAGUUUGGUAGCUCGCAAGGCUCAUAACCUUGAGGUCACGGGUUCAAGUCCCGUCUCCGCUA
rnacentral:tRNA from 1 species